UACGAAGGGGGCUAGCGUUGCUCGGAAUUACUGGGCGUAAAGCGCACGUAGGCGGAUUGUUAAGUCGGGGGUGUAAUCCUGGAGCUCAACUCCAGAACUGCCUUCGAUACUGGCGAUCUCGAGUUCGGGAGAGGUGAGUGGAACUGCGAGUGUAGAGGUGAAAUUCGUAGAUAUUCGCAAGAACACCAGUGGCGAAGGCGGCUCACUGGCCCGAUACUGACGCUGAGGUGCGAAAGCGUGGGGAGCAAACAGG
rnacentral:rRNA from 1 species